rnacentral:misc_RNA from 1 species
GAUGAAGAACGCAGCGAAAUGCGAUACGUAAUGCGAAUUGCAGAUCUCAGCGAGUCAUCGAAUCUUUGAACGCAUAUUGCGCCCGCCAGCAUUCUGGCGGUGCAUGCCUGUCCGAGCGUCAUUUCUACCCGUCGAGCCCCGCUCGUGUUGGGGCCCUGCGGCCGCCGCAGGCCCCUAAAGACAGUGGCGGGACCGCCGCCGCGCCGAGCGUAGUAGCGCGAGCCUCGCUCCGGUAGCGGCGGCCGGCCCCGGCCGGGCACCAGCGGCCCGAAGACCCCCCACACACAGGAUGACCUCGGAUCAGGUAGGAAUACCCGCUGAACUUAAGCAUAUCAAUAAGCGGAGGA